CCUACGGGGGGCAGCAGUGGGGAAUAUUGCACAAUGGGGGAAACCCUGAUGCAGCGACGCCGCGUGAGUGAAGAAGUAUUUCGGUAUGUAAAGCUCUAUCAGCAGGGAAGAAAAUGACGGUACCUGAUGAAGAAGCCCCGGCUAACUACGUGCCAGCAGCCGCGGUAAUACGGAGGGGGCAAGCGUUAUCCGGAUUUACUGGGUGGAAAGGGAGCGUAGACGGCAGCGCAAGUCUGACGUGAAAUGCCGGGGCUCAACCCCGGAACUGCUUUGGAAACUGUGCAGCUAGAGUGCAGGAGAGGUAAGUGGAAUUCCUAGUGUAGCGGUGAAAUGCGUAGAUAUUAUGAGGAACACCAGUGGCGAAGGCGACUUACUGGACUGUAACUGACGUUGAGGCUCGAAAGCGUGGGGAGCAAACAGGAUUAGAUACCCUUGUAGUC
rnacentral:rRNA from 1 species